rnacentral:lncRNA from 1 species
CACGCUUCCCCUCAGGCUGAUCCAGAAAAAUCCAACUCCAUAAACUCGGCUCAGACUCUUCCUUGGAGUUACUCCAGGAGGUCUUGCUCAGAACCCCAAAUUCAGGGUUCAGAGAAAGAGGUGUCUCAGUCCCUGGACUCAAGCUACUGGACCAUAAAAGUGUCCAGCCGGAAUGAUGACCGUGGAUUCCUACUUUCUUCUUAGUCUUGGUAUUCCUUGCUUUACUCCUGUCCAGGUAGAAGACAGAGCCAAAUAAAAAGAGGAGAAGAAUCAUGCAUGUUCUCCCUUCUAAUUUGCUAAGACUCUACAUCACUCUUCAGAUUCCCUCUCCUCUCACCUCCACCCACCCU